rnacentral:rRNA from 1 species
CUGUCUCAGUUCGGAUUGGAGUCUGCAACCCGACUCCAUGAAGCUGGAUUCGCUAGUAAUCGCGCAUCAGCCACGGCGCGGUGAAUACGUUCCCGGGCCUUGUACACACCGCCCGUCACACCAUGAGAGUUGGGAAUACCCGAAGCCUGUGAGCUAACUAAUAGAGGCAGCAGUCGAAGGUAGAAUCAAUGAUUGGGGGUGAAGUCGUAACAAGGUACC